AAAAAAGGACAAGAAAAAUACAUAAAGUCCCAAAUAUUACUCAUGAAUGUAUUUCAAAAGUUGGAUGCAAAAAGGCUUUAAAAUGAUUAAAAAAUAAAUUGCAAAAGGAAAUUAAAAAGAAAAUGAAAUAAAAAAUCAUUUUAAAAAAAUGGGAUAAAAUGUAUAUGAUGAAAAAUAUUUGUAGACACUUUGUGUAAAAAAUUUGGAUCAAAUUGAAUUAAAAAUGAGUGAGAAAUUAAUUGGGAAAAGAAAAAGAAAAAGAAAAAGAAAAUAAAACAAAUAAAAGAAAAAGGGUGCCAACGACUAUGUGGUUUGAAUAAACAUGUUUGCGUUAUCCCAUUGGCUGAGAGAUUUGAAUCACGCGCAAAACAACUUCAUCUUCAACCUCCCUUUGAUUUCUGCGACAUCAUGAACUCGGUGUUUUUGGCCAAAACAACACACAUUUCAGCAACAACAUCCAUCAUCGUUCAUGUCUCUUUGCUUCAGAGCCAUUGAUUGGCUCUGAGCAACGAGAAUUU
rnacentral:lncRNA from 1 species